GAUGAACGCUAGCGGCAGGCUUAAUACAUGCAAGUCGAGGGGCAUCAAGGUACACGAAAGUGUAUUGUUGGCGACCGGCGGACGGGUGAGUAAUAGGUAGGUAACCUACCUCAUACUGAGGCAUAGCUGGGAGAAAUUCCAGGUAAUUCCUCAUGAGGUUAUAUGACACAUGUGAUAUAAUCAAAGGUAUCGCAAGGUACUGGUAUGAGAUGGGCUUACUGACCAUUAGCUAGUUGGCGGGGUAAAGGCCCACCAAGGCAACGAUCUGUAGCUGGUCUGAGAGGACGACCAGCCACACUGGAACUGAGACACGGUCCAGACUCCUACGGGAGGCAGCAGUGGGGAAUUUUGGACAAUGGGCGCAAGCCUGAUCCAGCCAUUCCGCGUGCAGGAUGAAGGCCUUCGGUUGUAAACUGCUUUGUACGGUACGAAACGGUACGUAGCCUAAUACGCGGGCGUAAUGACGUACCGUAAGAAUAAGCACCGGCUAACUACGUGUACCG
rnacentral:rRNA from 1 species